rnacentral:rRNA from 1 species
UUUUAUGGAGAGUUUGAUCCUGGCUCAGGAUGAACGCUGGCGGCGUGCCUAAUACAUGCAAGUCGAGCGAACGGACGAGAAGCUUGCUUCUCUGAUGUUAGCGGCGGACGGGUGAGUAACACGUGGAUAACCUACCUAUAAGACUGGGAUAACUUCGGGAAACCGGAGCUAAUACCGGAUAAUAUUUUGAACCGCAUGGUUCAAAAGUAAAAGACGGUCUUGCUGUCACUUAUAGAUGGAUCCGCGCUGCAUUAGCUAGUUGGUAAGGUAACGGCUUACCAAGGCAACGAUGCAUAGCCGACCUGAGAGGGUGAUCGGCCACACUGGAACUGAGACACGGUCCAGACUCCUACGGGAGGCAGCAGUAGGGA